rnacentral:lncRNA from 1 species
AGACUGCAGACUUCCCUGGGAAUGAAGGGAAUGCUCUGUGUCCUCAUGGCCAGUCCCCAGUCAGUUCGGGUGCUCUGCUCUCAGUGCUCCUUGGACCCUGUCUGUGCCAGGCAGCAGCCCCUCACACAAGGCCCAGCUCCCUUCCAGAGGGUCAGCCAUGCCCCUGGAGGUCUGGAUCCUGCGCUCUGCCCUCAGCCUGCUCCUGCUGCUGUCUGCCCCCAUCAUCACCCUCCUCCUGGAGAGAUGCAGACACAGUGCCCACAAGGCCAGGCAGCCUGGAGACGUCCCUGUCCCCAUGGUGCUCUGAUGUCCCCCUGGGCUCCAUGCUGUCCCCAGCCUGCUCAACCAUGCUCAGAGCAUGACCCCCACACAUUUGUCAGACUCCCGCUGCCGUUGGUCUCGAGGCAACUGGGGCAGCAUGCCCAAGGGAUGUGUUGCCACUGCUCUGCUUCCCUUGGCUCAGUGCCUUCCUUUGAGGAAGGGAAUUGAGAGAGCAGCAUGGGGGAGCUCAUGUGCCUUUGGAAAAAGCCUCUGCCUUUCCUGGUUGUUGUAUGGUCGCAUGAAAGUCAAAGUGUGGGUGCAGAUGGCUCCCACAGUGCAGUGCUGGCAGCACAAUG